UAAUACGUAGGGACCGAGCGUUGUCCGGAAUCAUUGGGCGUAAAGAGCGUGUAGGCGGCCACUUAAGUCCUGCGUGAAAUCCUGCGGCUCAACCGCAGGCGGUCGUGGGAAACUGGGUGGCUAGAGUGCGGGAGAGGAGAGUGGAAUUCCUGGUGUAGCGGUGGAAUGCGCAGAUAUCAGGAAGAACACCCGUGGCGAAGGCGGCUCUCUGGAACGCAACUGACGCUGAGACGCGAAAGCGUGGGGAGCAAACAGG
rnacentral:rRNA from 1 species